UUCAUCUGCUGAGCUAAUCUAGCCCUGCCAGAGAAGCAUUUGUGCUAUUGCUUACAAGUUAGCCACAAUACCCAUGGUGUUUUGUUUCCAUCAAGUUCAUUUCACUGUGCAUCAUGCUUUCCUGAUGUAGUGAUAUGAACUGAAGUUGCCUGAAUGAAAACUCAUCAUGCUUUGGAAGUCACUUUUUGAGUAUAACCUCCUGUGAAAUCCUGUGAGAAUGUUUGAAAAUAUUUACAUCAGCAAGAAAAAAUGUUCAUCAAAUGAGGCCUUAUUCUGGGACAACAGGGAAAAUGGAGUAAUUUUUAUUCAUUUUACCACUACAGCUUGGUGUUGGGCUUAUGGAUUAGACCACUGGGGACUACAAGGUGUG